AUUCCUUUCAAAUGUGCCAGAAACUCAUCUGCCAAGAGUUAACUAUAGUUCCUUGUGGAAGGUGGAGUCUCAUGUGUCAUCUUCCACACAGAUGGGCUAUGAACAGAGCCAAUGCAGAUAACAGAAGAGAUACAACAUUGGUUCAAAGUUGUACCUGUAUUAGUGGUACUUAAAUAGGAUCUGAAUACCUCAAGGAGAGGGUGUUUUACUGCUCAUUUUAAAAUAAAUAACAGUAAAUAAAAUGCAUUAUAACAUAUGCAUUUUAAACGUCAAAAACUUCUUGACACAAAAACAUGUUCAACCUUCCUGCAGUCUUCAACCUACAAGAUUAGAUCAAAACCACAGCAGACAGAAGACCCCAUGGCCUCCCCAGUAUGAUUUUUAUUAUAGUACUACCACAACCCUCCAGAGAUCCAGUUCUUCUCUUGAAUUUGUCUUUCCAAUAUUACAAUGAAGAUUAAAAACCAAGCUUGUCCAAGGGCUUUCCACUGUAUUCCAUCAUCACACUAAAAGAAAAACAGAACAAAUACGUAUCAGUGUCAUUCUUUGUCUUCAAUCUCUUUAUUUUUAACAAAAGCACAUAUUUUCCUCAAAGAAGGAAGGGGA
rnacentral:lncRNA from 1 species